UUUAAGUAUUGAUAAUAUGAGUCCUUAGUUAUCAUUUUAUCUCCAUCUAAUAUCAAAUAAUUACUUUUAUAGCAUUCAAAAUUAUGAUUAUAUUAUCUCAUAAAUUAUAGCAACAUUAUUGCACUUUUAGAGGACAUGGAGAUCAUUGUCACUGUUGUAAAUGGUAUUUUGAGCAAGUUAGUGGAUGCAACAAUACAUGAAGCUUCUUAUUCUUGCUGCUUCAACAAGUAUGUCAAAGAGCUUGAAAUAGCAAAAACAAAGUUGCAAUCCAAAAUAAGAGAUGUUCUUGAUCGAGCUAAGAAGGAUAAGAAGCAGACAAAGAAAGUUGUUAAAGAAGUUGAGAAAUGGCUUUGUAAAGCGGACUCUUUGGUAGCAAAACUGGUGCAGGUAGAAGAAAGAUAAAGAACAAAAACAAGACAUCUUGUUUUAAGUAUUGCCCUAACUUGAUUAAGCGUUUCACUCUAGCUAAACAACUUGAAGGGAAGAUCAAUGAAAUUAAAGAGCAAUGCAAUAUUGAAUUCCCAGAAUUUUCUCGACUAGAAUCACUUGUUGGCAUGAGCUAUUAUUCUUCUGAAAGUUUUGUACGCUUUAAGAGUAGGCAGGGGGCAUAUGAUGAACUUUUGGAGGCACUUAAAGAUGAGCAUGUGAACAUGAUUGGAUUGUCUGGUAUGGGGGGAUGUGGGGAAAACGAUCUUGGUGAAAGAAGUGGGGAAAGAAGCGGAAUAGUUUUUUAGAAAAGUUGUCUUUGUUGUUGUGUCUAAUACCUUUGAAGUCAAAAAAAUUCAAGAAAAUAUAGCAAGCCAACUUGGUAAUUUUGAAUUGAAAGAGAAAGAAGGACAAGAGAGGGCCAAGCGAUUAUCCAUGAGAUUGGGGAGUGGGGAAAGGUUCCUGAUUAUUCUAGAUGAUGUAUGAAAAAAGCUUGAUUUUGAGGCCAUAGGGAUUCCUCUUGUAGAAAAUGAAAAAAGUUAUUGCACUGUGCUUAUAACUACUUGAAAACUUCAAGUAUGUAGACAAAUGAAUUGCAAAAGAACAAUUCCAUUGAAGGAAUUAGAUGAAGUUGAAGCAUGAGAGCUCUUUAAAAAGUAUUCAAGGACAUUUGAUGAUGACACUACUACUCCCUUGAAGAGAUUGGCACAAGAAAUUACCAAAGAAUGUGGUGGUUUACCUGUUGCUAUUGUUGUUGUAGCCAGCACUUUGAAAGGAAAACCUCAAUAUGAGUGGGAGGAAGCAUUGAGAACACUAAAAGAUUCAAUCUUUCUUGAUUUUGAUGAUGAGGGAUUAAGAAAUCCUUACUCAUGUCUUCAAUUAAGCUAUGAAAAUCUAGAGAAUGAAGUAGCCAAGUCAAUCUUCUUGUUAUGUUCUGUAUUUCCUGAAGAUUAUGAAAUUCCAAUUGAGCAAUUAACUGUGUUUGGAGUAGGGCUUAGUCUUGUGGAAAAAGUUGACUCAUAUCAAAGAGCAAGAGAGAAAGUGAUCAGUAGGGGCAAAAAUAGGCUUAUAAAUUCUUGUUUGUUGCUAGAAGUUGUUGGAAAAAACACUCAUGUCAAAAUGCAUGAUUUGGUUCGUGAUGUAGCCUUACGAAUUUCAAAGAAGGAGAUUAGAUUGAUCAAUGAAGAAAGCAAAUCAAAGCAAAAAGCAUUAAAAGAAGAUAUGAUUUUGAAGGAUGAUAUUGUAAGAUAUUUAUGGCUUGAUGAUAUGGAGGGAUUAUCUUAUAAGUUGGAUUGUUCUAAACUUGAGUUUCUUUCUAUUUUCACUAGAAAAGAACCUACUUCGAAGCUAUCAAAUGUUUUCCUCAAACACAUGGAGAAGCUUCGAGUUUUGAUUCUUGAGUGUAAAUGUUAUAUGUAGUGGAGUGAAAGUCGAGAAAUCUUGCAAUGCUUGAAUUUGGCCCCUUUGGUAUAUAAUCUUGGUUGCCUAUUCUUACAAAAUUGGUCAUUAGGAGACAUCUCUUUCAUUAGAAGCCUUAAUAGACUCGAGUCUCUUACAUUAGAGAAUUGUUCUUUUAAAGAAUUGCCUAAAUUCAUUGUAGAACAGAAGAACAUGAGAUUAUUAGAUAUUUGGAGAUGUAAAAUUCAAAAGAAUCCUUAUGAAGUGAUUGGAAUGUGUUCUCAAUUGGAAGAAUUGUAUUUUUGUGAAAAUGACGGAGUUUGGCUAGAUCAAGGUAAGAAUAUUGGUGACUUCUUCAAUAAAUUUACACCAAAAUUAGGUAGUUAUUGUAUAGAAUUUGGAAGCUCUACUUUCAAACGACAAGAGUUUCCUAUUACAAGAAGUUUACAUGUUGAUUUUGAAACUUGUAUGUCAAAUUCAACAAUUAAGGAUGUGAUGCAAAGAGCAAAGGUUCUCUCCAUAGGAAGAAUCACAAGUUGUAAAUAUAUACUCCCUGAUGUGUCUCAAACAAUAGGAGGAGAUAUGGAUGCUUUGGCUAAACUUUCAAUCCUUUUCUUUGAGGAGAUAGAAUACAUGAUAGAUCUUGCAAAUCAUUUGGGUGAAGUUGGAAUUAUCUCCAGAUUGACUCAUCUAACUAUAAAAUGGAUGAAACAUUUGAAUUCCUUGUGUUGUGGUCAUCUUCCUUUAAGCCUUUUUGCAAAAUUAGAAGUACUAAAGAUAGAGAAUUGUGAUUCACUUGAGCAUUUAAUAGUAGAAGAAGGGGAGGAGAUAGUUGCAUAUGAUAGUAGACAUCAAAGGAGCUAUAGAUCUACAUUCCCAAAUUUAAAAAGACUAACAAUACAUAAGUGCUGUCAACUAAAAUACUUAAUGCCCAUCUCUUGUGCUCAAAGCCUUGCAAAAUUGGAAGAUCUAUAAAUAAUGAAUGCUCAUAAAUUAAAGAGUAUGUUUGGCCCAUCCAUUUAUGAAGAUCCAAAUCAAAAUGAAUUCCAAAUCAUCCAGUUUUCAUCUUUGAGAAACCUAACUCUAUGAGCAUUGUCAAGUAUCAUUAGCAUUUGUCCAAAAAUUAUGAUCCAAUAUGCCCAUCUUUGAAAGAUAUGAUGUUAGAUAGAUGCCAUCAAUUAAAUUCCAUGUCCAUGAAUCAUUGGAUUGUUGGAUGCAGGUUAAGUCAAAUGCAUGAUCAGAUAGCAUAUGAGGACUUGUUGAAGGUAGCUGUGUCCUCACUGCAAACAUUACAAUCACUUUAUAUGCAUGAUACUAAAAUAGAAGUUAUUUUCGAUGCGGAUGAGAUUCCUAACAAUGCACAACAAGUGAACUCAAGCUUACAAAGGCUUCGAUUGGAAUAUCUACCAAAGUUGAGGGAUAUAUCAAGGGGUCCCAAAAAUUUCUUACUCCUUCAACAUCUUCAUUAUUUACGUAUUUGAAAUUGUGACAAUUUGGGAGUUAUAUUCCCUACAUGCAUUAUAAGAAGCCUACCACAGUUGAGAUUUCUUUGUAUUCAGGGAUGUAAGGAAUUGGAAGAAAUAAUUGGAGAUGAUGAAGAAGAAAAUCAAAGUGUGUUAAAUCCUCACCAACCUGUUGUCUUUCCAAAUCUCACCACAAUCGAAAUUGGAAAUUGUGAUAAGUUGAAAUGUGUAUUCCCUAUCUCUACAUAUCAUGUGCUCCCAAGACAUUACCAUAUAUUCCUAUAAGGAAUUGGAGGCAAUUGUCAAAGAAAAUCAAAAUGUGCUCAAUCCUAACAACCUGCUAUCUUUCCAAGUCUCACCAUAAUCUUCAUAGAAGAUUGUCAAAAAUUGAAACAUGUAUUUCCCAUGCCAACAUGUGGUAUGCUUCCCAAACUAAGGGGAAUGUGGAUAUCUAAAGUAUCAGAGCUAGAGAGAGUAUUAGGAGAUGAAGAAGCAGAGACAAUGCCUAUAAAAGAAACUCUCAUUCCCAACUUGAAGGUUGCAAUACUUUUUUGACUGCCAAAACUCACUGCACACAGCCUCAACAUUCAUAAUCUCCAAAGUGUGAGAUACCUUGUUGUAGAUCAGUGUCCCCAAGUCUCUAAUGCUCUCACUCCCACCAUAACUCCUUUGAAUUUACUAUAAAUAUUAGAAAAUAAUUCAGGUACUCAA